rnacentral:rRNA from 1 species
GGCGUGAAAUUCGCCUUCAUGAAGCCGGAAUUGCUAGUAAUGGCAGGUCAGCAUACUGCCGUGAAUACGUUCCCGGGCCUUGUACACACCGCCCGUCACACCAUGAGAGUUGGGAAUACCCGAAGCCUGUGAGCUAACUUUUAGAGGCAGCAGUCGAAGGUAGAAUCAAUGAUUGGGGUGAAGUCGUAACAAGGUACC